CCUACGGGUGGCAGCAGUAGGGAAUUUUCGUCAAUGGGCGCAAGCCUGAACGAGCAAUGCCGCGUGAACGAGGAAGGUCUUCGGAUCGUAAAGUUCUGUUGAAUGGGAAAAAGAGCGGAGAGAUGAAAUUCUUUCUUAUUUAUAUUACCCUUCUAUUAAUUCACUUCUAACUACUUUCCAUCAUCCUCUUUAAUACGUAGGUUUCUAUCUUUAUCCUUAAUUAUUUUUCUUAAAGGGUGCGUAGGCGGCCUGCUAAGUCUGGAGUGAAAGGGACCGGCGCAACCGGGACAUUCUCUGGAAACGGGCGGGCGAGAGAGCAGGAGAGGGCGGGGGAACGCCAGGGGGAGCGGGAAAAGGCGUAGAUAGAGGGAAGAACACAAGUGGCGAAGGAGGCAGCCUGGCCGGGGACGGACGCGGAGGCACGAAAGCGGGGGGAGCAAAGAGGAUUAGAGACCCGGGGAGGC
rnacentral:rRNA from 1 species